AUCCAGCUGAUGAGUCCCAAAUAGGACGAAACGCUUGUCUUGGAU
rnacentral:hammerhead_ribozyme from 1 species